GAUGAACGCUGGCGGCGUGCCUAAUACAUGCAAGUCGAGCGAACAGACGAGGAACUUGCUCCUCUGACGUUAGCGGCGGACGGGUGAGUAACACGUGGAUAACCUACCUAUAAGACUGGGAUAACUUCGGGAAACCGGAGCUAAUACCGGAUAAUAUAUUGAACCGCAUGGUUCAAUAGUGAAAGACGGUUUUGCUGUCACUUAUAGAAGGAUCCGCGCCGCAUUAGCUAGUUGGUAAGGUAACGGCUUACCAAGGCAACGAUGCGUAGCCGACCUGAGAGGGUGAUCGUCCACUCUUGAACGUGAGCACGGUCCAGACUCCUACGGGAGGCAGCAGUAGGGAAUCUUCCGCAAUGGGCUGAAGCCUGACGGAGCAACGCCGCGUGAGUGAUGAAGGUCUUCGGAUCGUAAAACUCUGUUAUUGGGGAAGAACAAAUGUGUAAGUAACUAUGCACGUCUUGACGGUACCUAGUCAGAAAGCCACGGCUAACUACGUG
rnacentral:rRNA from 1 species